AAAAGGUGGCUAUGCUACCGCUUUUGGAUGGGCCCGCGGCGCAUUAGCUAGUUGGUGGGGUAAAGGCUUACCAAGGCAAUGAUGCGUAGCCGAACUGAGAGGUUGAUCGGCCACAUUGGGACUGAGACACGGCCCAAACUCCUACGGGAGGCAGCAGUAGGGAAUCUUCCACAAUGGGCGAAAGCCUGAUGGAGCAACGCCGCGUGGGUGAAGAAGGUCUUCGGAUCGUAAAACCCUGUUGUUAGAGAAGAAAGUGCGUGAGAGUAACUGUUCACGUUUCGACGGUAUCUAACCAGAAAGCCACGGCUAACUACGUGCCAGCAGCCGCGGUAAUACGUAGGUGGCAAGCGUUAUCCGGAUUUAUUGGGCGUAAAGGGAACGCAGGCGGUCUUUUAAGUCUGAUGUGAAAGCCUUCGGCUUAACCGGAGUAGUGCAUUGGAAACUGGGAGACUUGAGUGCAGAAGAGGAGAGUGGAACUCCAUGUGUAGCGGUGAAAUGCGUAGAUAUAUGGAAGAACACCAGUGGCGAAAGCGGCUCUCUGGUCUGUAACUGACGCUGAGGUUCGAAAGCGUGGGUAGCAAACAGGAUUAGAUACCCUGGUAGUCCACGCCGUAAACGAUGAAUGCUAAGUGUUGGAGGGUUUCCGCCCUUCAGUG
rnacentral:rRNA from 1 species